rnacentral:rRNA from 1 species
GGGUUGUGAGGUUAAGCGACUAAGCGUACACGGUGGAUGCCCUGGCAGUCAGAGGCGAUGAAGGACGUGCUAAUCUGCGAUAAGCGUCGGUAAGGUGAUAUGAACCGUUAUAACCGGCGAUUUCCGAAUGGGGAAACCCAGUGUGUUUCGACACACUAUCAUUAACUGAAUCCAUAGGUUAAUGAGGCGAACCGGGGGAACUGAAACAUCUAAGUACCCCGAGGAAAAGAAAUCAACCGAGAUUCCCCCAGUAGCGGCGAGCGAACGGGGAGCAGCCCAGAGCCUGAAUCAGUGUGUGUGUUAGUGGAAGCGUCUGGAAAGGCGCGCGAUACAGGGUGACAGCCCCGUACACAAAAAUGCACAUGCUGUGAGCUCGAUGAGUAGGGCGGGACACGUGGUAUCCUGUCUGAAUAUGGGGGGACCAUCCUCCAAGGCUAAAUACUCCUGACUGACCGAUAGUGAACCAGUACCGUGAGGGAAAGGCGAAAAGAACCCCGGCGAGGGGAGUGAAAAAGAACCUGAAACCGUGUACGUACAAGCAGUGGGAGCACGCUUAGGCGUGUGACUGCGUACCUUUUGUAUAAUGGGUCAGCGACUUAUAUUCUGUAGCAAGGUUAACCGAAUAGGGGAGCCGAAGGGAAACCGAGUCUUAACUGGGCGUUAAGUUGCAGGGUAUAGACCCGAAACCCGGUGAUCUAGCCAUGGGCAGGUUGAAGGUUGGGUAACACUAACUGGAGGACCGAACCGACUAAUGUUGAAAAAUUAGCGGAUGACUUGUGGCUGGGGGUGAAAGGCCAAUCAAACCGGGAGAUAGCUGGUUCUCCCCGAAAGCUAUUUAGGUAGCGCCUCGUGAAUUCAUCUCCGGGGGUAGAGCACUGUUUCGGCAAGGGGGUCAUCCCGACUUACCAACCCGAUGCAAACUGCGAAUACCGGAGAAUGUUAUCACGGGAGACACACGGCGGGUGCUAACGUCCGUCGUGAAGAGGGAAACAACCCAGACCGCCAGCUAAGGUCCCAAAGUCAUGGUUAAGUGGGAAACGAUGUGGGAAGGCCCAGACAGCCAGGAUGUUGGCUUAGAAGCAGCCAUCAUUUAAAGAAAGCGUAAUAGCUCACUGGUCGAGUCGGCCUGCGCGGAAGAUGUAACGGGGCUAAACCAUGCACCGAAGCUGCGGCAGCGACGCUUAUGCGUUGUUGGGUAGGGGAGCGUUCUGUAAGCCUGUGAAGGUGUGCUGUGAGGCAUGCUGGAGGUAUCAGAAGUGCGAAUGCUGACAUAAGUAACGAUAAAGCGGGUGAAAAGCCCGCUCGCCGGAAGACCAAGGGUUCCUGUCCAACGUUAAUCGGGGCAGGGUGAGUCGACCCCUAAGGCGAGGCCGAAAGGCGUAGUCGAUGGGAAACAGGUUAAUAUUCCUGUACUUGGUGUUACUGCGAAGGGGGGACGGAGAAGGCUAUGUUGACCGGGCGACGGUUGUCCCGGUUUAAGCGUGUAGGCUGGUUUUCCAGGCAAAUCCGGAAAAUCAAGGCUGAGGCGUGAUGACGAGGCACUACGGUGCUGAAGCAACAAAUGCCCUGCUUCCAGGAAAAGCCUCUAAGCAUCAGGUAACAUCAAAUCGUACCCCAAACCGACACAGGUGGUCAGGUAGAGAAUACCAAGGCGCUUGAGAGAACUCGGGUGAAGGAACUAGGCAAAAUGGUGCCGUAACUUCGGGAGAAGGCACGCUGAUAUGUAGGUGAAGUCCCUCGCGGAUGGAGCUGAAAUCAGUCGAAGAUACCAGCUGGCUGCAACUGUUUAUUAAAAACACAGCACUGUGCAAACACGAAAGUGGACGUAUACGGUGUGACGCCUGCCCGGUGCCGGAAGGUUAAUUGAUGGGGUCAGCGCAAGCGAAGCUCUUGAUCGAAGCCCCGGUAAACGGCGGCCGUAACUAUAACGGUCCUAAGGUAGCGAAAUUCCUUGUCGGGUAAGUUCCGACCUGCACGAAUGGCGUAAUGAUGGCCAGGCUGUCUCCACCCGAGACUCAGUGAAAUUGAACUCGCUGUGAAGAUGCAGUGUACCCGCGGCAAGACGGAAAGACCCCGUGAACCUUUACUAUAGCUUGACACUGAACAUUGAGCCUUGAUGUGUAGGAUAGGUGGGAGGCUUAGAAGUGUGGACGCCAGUCUGCAUGGAGCCGACCUUGAAAUACCACCCUUUAAUGUUUGAUGUUCUAACGUUGACCCGUAAUCCGGGUUGCGGACAGUGUCUGGUGGGUAGUUUGACUGGGGCGGUCUCCUCCUAAAGAGUAACGGAGGAGCACGAAGGUUGGCUAAUCCUGGUCGGACAUCAGGAGGUUAGUGCAAUGGCAUAAGCCAGCUUGACUGCGAGCGUGACGGCGCGAGCAGGUGCGAAAGCAGGUCAUAGUGAUCCGGUGGUUCUGAAUGGAAGGGCCAUCGCUCAACGGAUAAAAGGUACUCCGGGGAUAACAGGCUGAUACCGCCCAAGAGUUCAUAUCGACGGCGGUGUUUGGCACCUCGAUGUCGGCUCAUCACAUCCUGGGGCUGAAGUAGGUCCCAAGGGUAUGGCUGUUCGCCAUUUAAAGUGGUACGCGAGCUGGGUUUAGAACGUCGUGAGACAGUUCGGUCCCUAUCUGCCGUGGGCGCUGGAGAACUGAGGGGGGCUGCUCCUAGUACGAGAGGACCGGAGUGGACGCAUCACUGGUGUUCGGGUUGUCAUGCCAAUGGCACUGCCCGGUAGCUAAAUGCGGAAGAGAUAAGUGCUGAAAGCAUCUAAGCACGAAACUUGCCCCGAGAUGAGUUCUCCCUGACCCUUUAAGGGUCCUGAAGGAACGUUGAAGACGACGACGUUGAUAGGCCGGGUGUGUAAGCGCAGCGAUGCGUUGAGCUAACCGGUACUAAUGAACCGUGAGGCUUAACCUUACAACGCCGAAGCUGUU